AUACAGAGGGUGCAAGCGUUAGUCGGAAUUACUGGGCGUAAAGCGCGCGUAGGCGGAUGAUUAAGUCAGUUGUGAAAGCCCUGGGCUCAACCUAGGAACUGCAUCUGAUACUGGUCGUCUAGAGUUUAAGAGAGGGAAGUGGAAUUCCAGGUGUAGCAGUGAAAUGCGUAGAUAUCUGGAGGAACAUCAGUGGCGAAGGCGACUUCCUGGCUUAAAACUGACGCUGCGGUGCGAAAGCGUGGGUAGCGAACGGGAUUAGAAACCCUUGUAGUCC
rnacentral:rRNA from 1 species